GCGCUCACUUCAACAGCACGUAUACUAAAUUUGGAAAGGUACAGAGAUUAUCAUGGCCCCUGCGCAAGGAUGGCAUGCCAAUUUGCAAAGCAUUCCAUAUUAAA
ensembl:snRNA U6 U6 spliceosomal RNA